rnacentral:antisense_RNA from 18 species
AGCUGAACUCUGUUCAGCUCCAUUUUUUUCAGACGCUACUUCUUCUACUUUGGUCGGUUGAGAAGUAG